GGGCUGUCACGUUAAUUCCGGACAGAGAGCCACAUGUGUUUUUAGAUGCUUAUAGAGACAAAAUAUAAAUGACCUGGUUCAUGAAUCAAUGGAAUUAUCGGGGCAGAUGACUGAACAACAACUCAAUGGCUCAAGUAAUAUCUGUUGUGAUGGAACGAAGAUUUCCUCAAGUAGUGAUAAAUGCCAACAAAGGCCAACUCUUCCAAGCAAGCCACAGCCAGCAGCUAACACUCAGAGAACCAAUGCUUCCAGCAAAACAGCAGCAGGCAACAAGAAACCUGGAAAAAGGUCUAUCUGGUACUUCCAUCUUCUCGAAAAGUCGCGCCUUAGCAGCAAGCCAUGAAGUUCGCCAAGGAGUACCAGAAGCAUAUGACCAGCAUGGAGGAAGAUCUGCAUGCUCUAGGGCUGGAGCGCAUCAAAGAAAUGAUCAAGAAAUACCUGCUCCCCACAGGGCCUCGGCGACGAGAGAGACGUCGCCGUCCCAGGAGGUGUUGGCACAAGGAGCAGUCAAGAACUUGGUUGAACAUUUUUCCCUUAUUUUGGACAAUCAAAUCGGGGAUGAACUCAACCUAAGUGGAUCUUGGCAUUGGAUUCACAUUUCAUUUUGCGCCGAGUCAUCUAAAUCGGGCCGGAGGGAGUAGAAAAAGUACAGCUUGGUGGAGGAGAAGGAGGAGGUGGCCAUGGAGGAAUGGAAGUGGAAGACGUGCGUGUUCUCCAUCACCUUGGGCAUGCCGGUUGCCCUGCUGCUGAUGGUCAACAUGUGCUGGAGCGCCAUUACCGCCGCCCUCGCGCUCGUCGUCCUCGACUUCAAGAAUGUCCGAUCAUGCUCGAGAAGAAAACUAACCAAUUGCUUCUGCUUCAGGUCUCAUACCCACUGCUGCGGGGUGUUCAUCACCGUCGACGGCUUCAAUAAGACCGGCACUCCCAGCGCAUUCUGGGAGUUCAUGCCUUCAUGGAGCCAUAUGCGCGCAUCAACACGCUGACCGGGUAGUCAUCCUUUUGUUGGGGAUCCUUUUCCUCUCAAGCGUGGCGUCGCAUAUCCCUACUGUCCUGCUACUCGGUGCGCGGGUGGCAGCCUUGGCAGCGCGAUCUCCCCCCAGAGUGGAGACCAACAUGUGGCUGCUCCUGGCCUAGGUGAGCUCGGUGGCUGGCAGCCUCUCACUCCUGGGCUCGGCGGCCAACCUAAUCGUUGGGUCGAGGUUUGGGCCAUACUUCUGUCAACCAAUUAUUGCUGGGCUAGGAUAAAACGAUCGGCCAUUUAUAGACUGCAUUGGUGCCAAGGAACUGGCAAAGGAUUCUGUUGUUUCCAGGCACUGCUUCGGAUCAUUACAUGGUGCUCGUGAGUCCAUGUAUUAACCAGACAUGGAACCUGAAGAACUGUUUGAGAUGAUCUCGCAAGCAUUGCUGUCUUCUGUUGACCGUGAUUGCCUCAUUGUGUAAGUUCCACAUAUCUCAAACUCCUACAUAUUACUAUACCAAAAAUAUGCAUGUGUCAAACUAAAGAACCUCAAGCACGAAAAUGAUUGUUUUUUCUGUUUUCGCUCCUACCUUCGAGACAUGCCACUGAAAGCACAUGUGCCUGUGUAUGUACUUUGUUACAGCACACCUUUGCAAAAACUGAUUGGAAGAAUUUCAUUUGAUUGUCA